AUCCUUUGCAUUGGUCUUGGAUGACUUGAGAUGGACUCUCCUACUUAAAAUUUUCCUCCAUUGGAGUUCCCUUCGUGGCUCAGGAGUCAGCAAACCUGAUGAGCAUCCAUGAAGAUGCAGGUUCAACCCCUGGCCUCACUCUGUGGGUUAAGGAUCCAGCGUUGCCACGAGCUGUGGUAUAUAGGUUGUGGAUGCGGCCCAGAUCCCUCAUUGUUGUGGCAGUGGCAUAGGCCGGCAGCUGCAGCUCCGAUUCGCCUCCUAGCCUGCGAACCUCCAUGUGCCAUGAGUGCAGCCCUAAGAAGCAAAAAAGAAUUUUUUCCCUCAUUGGAUUAAUAUUUAAAGCUUGAUAAUAGUACUGCUAUUAGGAGUUCCUGAUGUGGCACAGUGGGUAAGAAUCUGACUGCAAUAGCUAGGUCACUGUGGAGCUGCAGGUUUGAUCACUGGCCCACUGCAGUGGGUUUCAAGGAUUUGGCAUUGCAGCAGCUGUGGCUCAGACUCAAUCCCUGGCCCAGGAAUUCCAUAUGCUGUGAGUGUGGCUGUUAAAAAAAAAAUACUGCUACUAGCAGUACCCACCCCCACCCACCACUGAAUCAAUACUAUGUAUUAUGUAUAGGAGAUACCAGAUUACAUAUAUUAUUUAAUCCUAAGUCCUUUUUUAGAAUGAACAUAACUAUCACAUUUUAGGGAUAAAGUAAACAGGAGCUUUGAAAGGUUAAAUGAUUUAAUCAAGCCAAACUGGGAUUAGCAUCUCAGAUUUCAGGGUACCUCAUGCCAUGCCUCGCCCACUAUUCCACACCACCUGUGCUCUACCAUGUCGUGUUCAUAUUAAAAUGCAGAAACAUGAGCAGAUUUCCAGGAUGCAAGGACACAAUCAUCGCAUGAUUCCUUUGGGAUAAAUCUAAUCUGGUCGCCCAAACCUUGGAAGGUGUAAAUUGUGUAAUAAUAAUUGAUGAGGGCCCCCAUCUCCUCAGGUCUCGCCAGCCCAGGUCCGUUUCCCUAUGGAAGUCACCAAGCCCCUUGGCAUCAUCACUCUUCAAAGAAUUAGGAACAAGAAGGAGCAUACGUCACCUGAUGCCAUUAAAUGCGAUUUGAAUGGAUUUUCUAAUGUUUCAAAGUACUUUCUUGCAGACAGCUAAGAAAUUCAUAAAACCAGCCAUGAGCAUGCUAUUGCCUGUAAGUGUAAACAGUUAUGAUAGAAGAGUGACUGCGUCCACCCGGAGAGCCUUUGAAGAGGAGACUGAGAGAGGGACCAGGGCUCCUUUGAUCAUCCCCACGCAAAUCCCCGAUAGCUGACAGAAAGCUGCUUUAGGUUGUGCCCUGUUUUCUUUUUAAAGUGCAUAGGGAACAGCUCAUUAAGAAGUAAUACUGUCCUUUUGAGGAUUUUUUUUUUCUUAAAUUGGAAACAAUUAUGGGAGUUAGACUCUUCCUUUUUUUUUUUAAUAUAAAUUUUCUCUGUGACUCUUCCUCUGAAAAAUUCCUUUAGAGGUCAGAACAACAAACCAAUGCUGUUAGCUUCUGGAUUUGUUUAUCAGGUUGGCUCAGAGUCCCCCUUCCUUUCUCUCCGUCUUGUGUGUAAUUAGACAAAAGAAGCCCCAAACGUGGAAUACCUCAUUUCGUAUUCCUUGGGCUUCAGUAGAGGCGCACCAAAUGGUCUCCCAACUCAGCGGAAGGAGGUAGAAUGUUUCAGUUAGGAAUCUUAUCUGGGAGUUCCCGCUGUGGCUCAGCAGUUAUUGAACCUGACUAGCAUCCACUGAGGAUACAGUUUCCAUCCCUGGCCUUGCUCAGUGGGUUAAGGAUCUGGUGUUGCCGUGAGCUGUGGUGUAGGUCGCAGACGCGGCUCGGAUCCUGUCUUUUGUGGCUGUGGUGUAGACUGUCAGCUACAGCUCAGAUUCGACCCCUAGCCUGGGAAUCUCCAUAUGCCGUGGGUGUGGCCCUGAAAAAAAAAAAGGAAUCUUUUCUGCUUGUCCGUUUCAUUUUCUUCGACCUGUUUCUCCAAGCAAUUCCCUCCUGACGUCCUGUACUUCGCUGACCAUGGUGAUGGGUCACCGGUUGUCAGGCGAGGUGGGGUUGAUGGGUCACCGGUUGUCAGGCGAGGUGGGGUCCCUUGUUGGUUGCUUCCCUUUGGCCCUCUCAGAUUAUUUGGAAGAGUGAUAGAAUUCUGCACAGAGAGUAGUGGUACCCCCCCCAACCAGAGAGCGAAGAAGGACUGGCUUUGCCCCCAGACCCCUUCCUCCGCCCAGAACACCCUCCUCCCCUUCUCCACCCGUAUCUUAAAGGCACAGCUUGACCACCACCUCUCCCCUGACGACCCACUCCCACCAGCAGGCAUCGCAGAACUUUUCAGAGCUUUUGACAAUCAUCAAACCCACAGAAAAGACCAGGACUUAAUUAUUCUCUAAUUACUAUUUUUUUCUUUUGGCCCCCCCGUAGCAUAUGGAGUUCCUGGGCCUGGGAUCAGAUCUGAGCCACAAGUGUGACCUAAACCGAAGCUGUGGAAAUGCUGGAUCCUUAAUCCACUGUGCGGGGCUGGGGAUCGAACCUGUGUCCCAAUGCUCCCAACUGCUGAUCCCAUAUCGUCACAGUGGGAACUCCUCUAAUUAUUUUUGGAUCAUGUCGUUUGCAAUUAUUUGUUUCUUUAUUAAUUGAAUACCAUCCUUAGGGUCUCUCGGGUUACAUUUUUGUUUGUUGGUUUUUGUUUUUCAGGGUUGCACCUACGGCAUAUGGAGGUUCCCAGACCAGGGGCUGAAUUGGAGCUACAGCUGAUGGCCUAUGCCACACUCACGGCAACUUGGGACCAAGGCAUGUCUUCGACCUACACCACAGCUCCUGGCAACACUGGAUCCUUAACCCACUGAGCGAGGCCAGGGAUCAAACCUGCAUCCUCUUGGAUAUUAGUUGGGUUCAUUAACCACUGAGACACAACGGGAACUCCCAGCUUUCAGGGUUAAAUUGAAGAUGAAGAACACACAGUCCAGGCCCUUCAGAACCUGCCAGUUUCCUGGGGGUGGCAGAAAAGUCAAUAGCUUUUGCAGCCCUGGAGGAUAACGCUCCUUACAUUCGAGUUUGAACCUCAUCCCCUCCCCCUAACUAACUUGUUUCUCAACGUAUUGAUGUUAGUUAAUAGUAACAGUAGUGAGUCCUGAAGACUUGACAUCUCAAGUCCAGACCCUUGGGGUCCCCUCUGCCUCGGCCUUCUCCCCACGCUCAGGUUGAGUUAUUAAUGACCAAGUCAGCACCCCUAGAACCUGAAGAGCACUUCUGGGCCCUUACUCACGUUGUCCCUCUGCCUCAAUAUUCUCCUUUAUUUUAUUUAUUUAUUUUUUGGCCGCACCCGUGGCAUGAGAAAAUUCCUGGGCGGGGUAUUGAAUGCCAGAGCGAUGACAAUGCCAGAUCCUUAGCCACUAGGCAACCAGGGAACUCCCUGAAUAUUCUCCUUUAGUCUGGUGAGAUCAAAAGAAUCCUUUCUAUGAGGACUAAUGCAAUGUCCAGGAAAAGUUUGCAUGGGGUCUGUAUGAGUCAUGACUAUAGAAGAAAACCCAACUCAAACUGCCUUAAAUAAUAAAUGAACUUUAUUGGCUAUUAGCAGGAGGGAAGGACUAGCUUCGGGUGAGACUUGAUCCAAGGCUCCAAUCAUCUUAUCAGGAGUUAGUUUCUUUCUCCAUUUCUUGCUUUCCUUUGGUGCUGACGCUAAUUUUUAAUUUUUUUAAUUUUAAAUUUAAAAUUUUUAAUUGAAAAAUUUAAUUUUUAAAGUAAUUUUUAAAAAAUUUUGAUUUAAUUCCAGUAGUCUCUCCCCUCUGGUUCCAAGAUGGUAGCUGCAACUUCUUUGGCUCUGUAGGUCCUGCUUAAGUCUGGAAGGAAUUGGAGAUACUCUCUUUCUCAGGAGUCUUUGUGGAAGUGUCACUGAGUGCUGACUCAGACUGGAUCAUGUGCCCACCCUGGCCUAACCACUGAGGCCAGGAGAAGGAUCAUUUAGAGUGGCCUAUGCCAAUAGCGAUUUGGCCUAGCCUUGGCAGUGAGGUCAAGACUAUUCAAGCCAUAGCAGGGAGUAAUUUUCCAAAGAAAAUUCAGGGAACUGCUGCUAGUUGAGUGUGGAGAUGCUGAGGAAGGAAUAAAUAAAUGUCCCUUUAAAGGCCCAACCCAUGAAUGCUUUGAUGACACGAUGCAAGUUCGGACUGAAUGAUGGCAGCUGUGGGAAGCCAGCAGGAUCUUUAGUCAAUUAUUUUCAGAUCUCUCUCUCUUAAUUAUUGGGAAUAAUAGUGAUGAAGGAAAGGAGAGAUUUUAGAAACAGGUAGGAUAUUAAAGCGUAUAAUGAUAUGUAAUAAAAAUAUGUAAAGAGUAUAAUAAUAUCUAAAAUGUCACAGCCUUUUUUUUUUUCUCUUUUUACCUGUGGCAUUAUGAAGGUUCCUGGGCGAGGAGUCAAAUUGGAGCUGCAGCUGUGGCCUACACCACAGCCAUGGCAACACCAGAUCUGCACCACAUCUGCGACCUCUGAGUGAGGCCAGAGGUUGAACCUGCAUCCUCACAGAGACAGCAGUGGGUCCUUAAACCACUAAGCCACAACGGGAACUCCUGGCAGUUCUUUUGGGAAAGAAUAAAACCAGGGUUCUGUCACGGCAAAUGGAGCAUUCAAGGUUAAAUAAACCCAACACAUGAAUAAGUGAUAUGUAUUAACGCCCUUCUGGCUCUCAUUAAGGAAUAUCUCAGUAUUAGAAACAGGUCCCUUGUUCACUGCUCUUUUCAUUUUAUUUAGGGAUUUUAGAGUAAAGGAAUCAAUGUUUCCUACAGUCUUUAUCAGGCAAUUAAGAACAAAGAGCUCCUCCAAGAGGAAGGUGCCAUGGAAAACUCGUCCUCACCUACCUUACAGCUCUGUCCUCCUGGAGACUAGUAAACAGUUAACUGUCUAAUGGUUAUCCUUUCUCCUCUAUUUAUUUUUAUUAAUGAAGGAAUUAGAGACCUGCCUCUUUCAACAGAGACUAACAAUCUGAGGGACAUUAGAAUCUCAGCAUGUUAGCGCUAGCAGCAACCAGCCAAGGUGACUCACCUGAUGAGAAAAUAGAUAGGGCGAGAGAAGUGACAAGUGCGGAAGCUGUGUGGAGGGUCAGUGGCUAAGCUUUAGGUCUUUGAAGAGCCUGUUUGGGGCUUGAUCCUCAUUUGCUGUUUCUCUUCCCACCUCGUGUAGGAUCUCAGGGGCAGCUACUGGGACGUGUAAGCUGGAGAAGAUGCCUGCCAAUCAGUGGUGAUGGAGAGGUGCACCUUGAAGGUUGCAGUUUGAGUCCCUGAUGCCCCUGUGGGUACCAGGGACUCUGUCCUGCAGAGGGUGCCAGCGCUCCUCAUUUCUUGAAGCACCUGAGCAGGUUAAAGGCUGGGGUGGUCAGCUGUGCUGUGAAAUUUCCACAGUGGUUACUUGGAGACAAAAGAGAGGCCCCCUAUCCAGAUGAGGAACAUGAGGCCAGGGGAAUCAGCUCUGUUUCAAAGAAGAUUUUGAAAAACGGCUUUUCCUAGUACUCUCCUCCCGUUGAUCACCUCCUGAUGGCUGACGGAGAGGAGACCCUGCCUGUUUCCCAUACGUGCGUACUCCAGAGCAGGUGGGAAACAAGCGCCGCCCCAGCUUCCCUUCUGCCUGGUGGAGGACUCCCUUUCGGAGUCGGAAGAUCCAGAGUGCCAGGUCUGGGCAUCCUUUGUCCCUCGCAGGCACCUGACCUCUCAUUCCCUUGCUGAACAAACUCAGAAGCUCACUGGAGAGGUUGUACCACCCCUACAGGCAGCACCCACUCCUGUGCCAUCUUAGAGAGAUGGCCAGCUAGCCCCAGGAGAUGGUCCUUCUACCUCAUUGAUGCAUGCUGCCUGUCAGUUGCCUUUUUCUCUGAACAUACUUUAUUUUUUAUUUUGAUUUUUUUAUUUUGCUUUUUAGGGCCGCACUUGCGGCAUAGGGAGUUUCCCAGGCUAGCUGUCAAAUCAGAGCUACAGCUGCCGGCCUACCCCACAGCCACAGCAAUGCAGAUCCAAGCCUCAUCUGUGACCUACACCACAGCUCACAGCAACGCCAGAUCCUUAACUCACUGAGUGAGGCCAGUGAUUGAACCUGCAACCUCAUGGUUCCUAGUCCGAUUCUUUUCCACUGCGCCACAUUGGGAACUCCUGAAAAUAUUCUCAUUGUUAUAUUGAUGCAUGCUGCUUCCUCUGCCACAGCAAGGCUCUGUGAAUCCUUUCCUUUGAAGUGGUGAGUUACUUCCUGGCCAAGUCCCAUGCUGGAAGCUAGGGGUUCAGUAGUUUCCAAAGUAGGGUAGGUGAGGAGUGGCUCUCUGGUCGGGAGAACAGAUAUCAAACCAAAUACUCAAUCUAAGUGUUCACAAGAGACUUAUGUGCACUUAGAAGAAAUACAGAAUGCUAUGCAAGCACAAGAUAAGGGCCUGGGAUGGAGGCAUUGAGGGUAUUAGUUUCCUAUUGCUGCUGUAACAAAAUAGGUUUGGUGGCUUAAAACAAAUCUUGAGGUUCUGAAGGUCAGAAGUGUGAACUGGUUCUUACAGGGUUAAAAUCAAGAUGGUGGUAGGGCUGUGUUCCUCCUGGCAGCUCUAAGGGAGAAUCUGUUUUCUUAUCGUUUCCAUCUUCUAGAGGUUGCCUAAAUUCCUUGGUUUGUAAUUCCAUCACUCCAUCCGCCACUUUCAGAGUCUCAUCCCCUUCUCGGACUCUCUUGCCUUCUUGUCUUAAUAAGCACCCUUGUGAUUUCACCAUCUAGAUGAUCCGGGAUAAUCUUCACAUACCAAGAUUGUUAAUUUAACUGCAUCCGUGCAGUCUCUUCUGCCCUGGGACAGUCUCAGGUUUCAGGAAUUAGCAUGCAGACCUCGGUGGGGAGGGCACGAUUCUUCCUGCCGUCUGGAGUGAAAGAUGCGUUGAGAAAAAAAAAAAAAA
rnacentral:lncRNA from 1 species